GAUGAACGCUAGCGGCAGGCCUAAUACAUGCAAGUCGAACGGUGUCUUCGGACAUAGUGGCGCACGGGUGCGUAACACGUAUGCAACCUACCUUACAUUGGGGGAUAGCCUUUCGAAAGGGAGAUUAAUACCGCAUAAGACAGUAGCUGGGCAUUCAGCAGCUGUUAAAGAUUUAUCGAUGUAAGCUGGGCAUGGGUCCAAUUAGCUAGUUGGUGAGGUAACGGCUCACCAAGGCAAUGAUGGGUAGGGGAACUGAGAGGUCAAUCCCCCACACUGGCACUGAGAUACGGGCCAGACUCCUACGGGAGGCAGCAGUAGGGAAUAUUGGGCAAUGGAUGCAAGUCUGACCCAGCCAUGCCGCGUGCAGGAUGAAGGCGUUAUGCGUUGUAAACUGCUUUUAUACAGGAAGAAACGACUCUUGCGAGAGGCAUUGACGGUACUGUAUGAAUAAGCACCGGCUAACUCCGUGCCAGCCGCCGCCGUAAAAC
rnacentral:rRNA from 1 species